rnacentral:lncRNA from 1 species
UGCCAGGUUUUCCUCAGAUGCCUUCUUUUCAUUUUUUUUUUUAUUGGUAGGAAACAAAACAGCCUGAAUACAGUUGUUCUCCCACCCCAAAACUUUCCACCUUCAGACAGGGGAGAACAUACCAUUCAUCAUACUGUACAUUUCCUUUGUAGUAAAUAUUAGUGGUUUUAAUUACCAAAUUUUGUUGACUCAACGUAAUAUGCAGUUUGGGAGUUGAAAGGAGCGUGAGUAACUAAAAUCACCUCCCAUUUUCCAGGAACUUUGUUCCCUAAAUGCAGGAAGUUGUAAAAUCUCUGAUAGCAAAUCUGAUUGAUCCACGGGGCCACACUGCAAAUGACGGUCUGCUGGGGCGUCAGUGUCUCGAUGAAAAAGAGCCAAGAGAUGAAGUCAGGGCGGCUCAGCCGUCAAUCUUUACUCUGAAAUUAGGGAAGGCUCUGGGAUCCUCAUGUAGUCGCUCUGAUACAUGGGAAAGACACUGGUUUUGCCUGCUAGCCGUGCUGACCAAUUCUCUUCAUAUUUAUAUUGACUGUCGCUUUAAGAAGGAAGGCAAGAAGGCUUGAUUUGGACAGAGCUGUAAAGCAGACUGAUGUCGGGAGAAGACUCAGUGUAGAGUGGUGUUAGGGUGAAACUGACUAGUGUCUGUUUCCCCAUCAUCCCUCCCAUUGCCUCUGAUGACAUUUACCUGUCAAGCAGCAGAACCCAGAGGAUCCAUAAACUCUCGUGUAGGAAUGAUGGAGGGAAGGCACAGGACGGCUUCCUUAAGCUGGGGGCAACUUCUGGCCACCAAAACUGUUUCAGAAAUAAAGGGAUGGUUUGUUGUGAUGACUAGAACUUU